GUUUAUGGCGGCUGUGCGCGUGGGCACCUUCUGGUGCGCCGGGUAUUGGGUUUCGGAGCUCGGUCUGCUAACCCGCGUACAGUCGCCACCCUU
rnacentral:antisense_RNA from 1 species